AAAGUACUCCCCCCGUCCCAAAAUUCUUGUCUUAGAUUUGUCUAGAUACGGAUGUAUCAAGUCACAUUUUAGUAUUAGAUACAUCCGUAUCUAGACAAAUCUAAGGCAAUAAAUUUGGGACAAAGGGAGUAGUUG
rfam:Triticum aestivum genome assembly, contig: Triticum_aestivum_CS42_TGACv1_scaffold_178796_2DS